AUGGAGAUGGAUGGGGUUCUGCAAGCCGCGGAUGCCAAGGAUUGGGUUUACAAGGGGGAAGGCGCCGCGAAUCUUAUCCUCAGCUACACCGGCUCGUCGCCCUCCAUGCUUGGCAAGGUACUGCGGCUCAAGAAGAUUCUAAAAAACAAGUCGCAGCGGGCACCAAGUUGUAUUGUAUUCUCAAGUCAUGAGCAACUCCUGUGGGGCCAUAUCCCAGAACUGGUUGAGUCGGUCAAACAAGAUUGCUUGGCUCAAGCCUAUGCAGUGCAUGUUAUGAGCCAACACCUGGGUGCCAAUCAUGUCGAUGGUGGGGUCCGUGUACGUGUUUCUAGGGAUUUUCUGGAGCUUGUCGAAAAGAAUGUUCUUAGCAGCCGUCCUGCUGGGAGAGUAAAUGCAAGUUCAAUUGAUAACACUGCUGAUGCCGCUCUUCUGAUAGCAGACCACUCUUUAUUUUCUGGCAAUCCUAAGGGUAGCAGCUGCAUAGCUGUAGAGAUAAAGGCCAAAUGUGGGUUUCUGCCAUCAUCAGAAUAUAUAUCAGAAGAUAAUACUAUCAAGAAACAAGUAACGAGAUAUAAGAUGCAUCAGCACCUCAAAUUUUAUCAGGGUGAGAUAUCGAAGACUAGUGAGUACAAUCCUCUUGAUCUAUUUUCUGGGUCAAAAGAGAGAAUAUGCAUGGCCAUCAAGUCCCUUUUCUCAACUCCUCAGAACAACUUAAGGAUUUUUGUCAAUGGAUCUUUAGCUUUUGGUGGCAUGGGAGGUGGUGCAGAUAGUGUUCAUCCUGCUGACACUCUUAAGUGUCUUGAAGAUCUCAGCAAGAUUAGUGGCCUAAAACUCCCUGACUUCACUGAGCUC
rnacentral:misc_RNA from 1 species